CGUUGAAAGAGCAUUGAAAAUUUGCAUUUAUAUACAUCAAAUAACCGAUAUGUUUUCAUAAUUUAUGUUAGGUUGCAGUGCUGGCCAAUAGUACAGAAUACCAGCAUGCUCUUGAGGAAGAUGCUAAACCAACAGAGUAUUCCAGAAUUGACGACGUCAUUCAAGCUGUGAAAUCAAAGGAAGUAGAUGGAAUGUUACUGGACCGCUUCACAGCUUCCUAUUACCAGUCAAGAGGCAAACUGAAAUCGCUUCUCACAGUCAAGAAGCUAGAACUUCAAAGGGACACUGGAGCUCUGUUUUCAAAGGAUAGAGAGGAACUGGCACGGUGCUUAAAUCUUCUCCGUUCAAACAUUUUGAAGUCAGUUCAAACCUUUACCGCUACAUAUAAGCUAACAGAGCAGAAGCCUCCAAGAAACGUCAACCUGUUUGAUGUGUCAUCCCCCUUCAUUAAGGAAUUCAUGUACGUAUCAUUUGGCAUCUUAGCCGGAUUGCUCCUGAUUGGAACCCUUUGGGACAUCCUUAUUAGAAAGAAGGGAAGGAUUAAACAGAAUA